rnacentral:rRNA from 1 species
AUGUCACACCAAGUUAAUCCUAAGGGCCUUUGGGAUAAUCUAUUUGAUUACAGGGUUUUGUUCCCAAGCAAAGAUAUCCGCUAAGGUUGGUUCGUUCAUCCUAUUCUGAUAUUCAUGACCAAGAGGUACUGGAUUAUCUUUCGGGUAGGCCCUGAAAGAAGAAGGGCUGAAAUGCCAACGGACCUUUGUCUAUUCGCUAAUUCACCUGAUCCAAUAGUACUCAUUUUUGAAACGUCCAGUGCCAUGAACCGUUGA